UCAUUCCUUUGACCGGCUCACUCCCUCACUUUUGUUUUAUUUCUUUUUCUUCUCUUUCAUUUUCUAUAGAACACUCUCUACUCUCAUCCUCUCCACCGGCACUUCCACACCACCACCAUCACCAUUUCCACCAUCAUUUAUCCGGCAAGAUCACCGGAAAAUUCUUAGGAACCCAUAAACACCUUCAUCCUUUUUUUGAGGUACUAGCUAAUCUCCUUGGAGUUUGGAGAAUUAGGAUUUUGCGGUUGCGAGUCUUUGUGACAAUGGAAUCAAAUCCAGGUCAGUGCCCUUUCACUUUGGAUGACGAGUUCUUCCCGUUGUCCAUGGGGGGAAGAAGUUCCUUGAUUGUGUGUGGGUGAGGCUACUGCCUAUGGGGCCAAGAAACCACAUGCAAGAAAGGUCCUAUUUAACGCGCUCUCUCUGCUGCCCAUGGGGGGAGAGAAAAACCUUGAGGGUAUGGGUGAGGCUACUGUCCAUGGGGCCAAGAGUCUGCAUACCAGAGAGGACAAUAUCAUGCCAGUUGUGAAUGGAUGGAUCCCCUGACCGGUUUAUGUGGUAGUGUGGUAUAUUUGUGAUAAUUUAUCUUAUGUUAGAUAUUAUGGCCUUGGAAAUUAUAUUGUUGAUGCUCACAGAUUAUAGCAUAUAGUUUCAAAAUAUUUAUUUUGAGAAACUUUGUGUUUCACUAUUUAAUCAUUCUUGUAAUAUUAUUAUUUUGAA